UCUCCGUUGGUGAACCAGCGGAGGGAUCAUUACCGAGUUUACAACUCCCAAACCCAAUGUGAACCAUACCAAACUGUUGCCUCGGCGGGGUCACGCCCCGGGUGCGUCGCAGCCCCGGAACCAGGCGCCCGCCGGAGGGACCAACCAAACUCUUUCUGUAGUCCCCUCGCGGACGUUAUUUUAACAGCUCUGAGCAAAAAUUCAAAAUGAAUCAAAACUUUCAACAACGGAUCUCUUGGUUCUG
rnacentral:misc_RNA from 1 species